rnacentral:rRNA from 1 species
GAACGCUAGCUACAGGCUUAACACAUGCAAGUCGAGGGGUAGCAUGGUCUUAGCUUGCUAAGGCCGAUGGCGACCGGCGCACGGGUGAGUAACGCGUAUCCAACCUGCCUUACACUCUUGGACAGCCUUCUGAAAGGGAGAUUAAUACAAGAUGUUAUCAUGAGUAAGCAUUUUCGCAUGAUUAAAGGUUUACCGGUGUAAGAUGGGGAUGCGUUCCAUUAGAUAGUAGGCGGGGUAACGGCCCACCUAGUCUUCGAUGGAUAGGGGUUCUGAGAGGAAGGUCCCCCACAUUGGAACUGAGACACGGUCCAAACUCCUACGGGAGGCAGCAGUGAGGAAUAUUGGUCAAUGGACGAGAGUCUGAACCAGCCAAGUAGCGUGAAGGAUGAAGGUUCUAUGGAUUGUAAACUUCUUUUAUACGGGAAUAAACGGAUCCACGUGUGGAUUUUUGCAUGUACCGUAUGAAUAAGGAUCGGCUAACUCCGUGCCAGCAGCCGCGGUAAUACGGAGGAUCCGAGCGUUAUCCGGAUUUAUUGGGUUUAAAGGGAGCGUAGAUGGGUUGUUAAGUCAGUUGUGAAAGUUUGCGGCUCAACCGUAAAAUUGCAAUUGAUACUGGCAGUCUUGAGUACAGUUGAGGUAGGCGGAAUUCGUGGUGUAGCGGUGAAAUGCUUAGAUAUCACGAAGAACUCCGAUUGCGAAGGCAGCUUACUAACCUGUAACUGACAUUGAUGCUCGAAAGUGUGGGUAUCAAACAGGAUUAGAUACCCUGGUAGUCCACACGGUAAACGAUGAAUACUCGCUGUAGGCGAUAUACAGUCUGCGGCCAAGCGAAAGCAUUAAGUAUUCCACCUGGGGAGUACGCCGGCAACGGUGAAACUCAAAGGAAUUGGCGGGGGCCCGCACAAGCGGAGGAACAUGUGGUUUAAUUCGAUGAUACGCGAGGAACCUUACCCGGGCUUAAAUUGCAACCGAAUAUGGCGGAAACGCUAUAGCUAGCAAUAGCGGUUGUGAAGGUGCUGCAUGGUUGUCGUCAGCUCGUGCCGUGAGGUGUCGGCUUAAGUGCCAUAACGAGCGCAACCCUUGCCGAUAGUUACUAACAGGUCAUGCUGAGGACUCUGUCGGGACUGCCAUCGUAAGAUGUGAGGAAGGUGGGGAUGACGUCAAAUCAGCACGGCCCUUACGUCCGGGGCUACACACGUGUUACAAUGGGGGGUACAGAGGGCUGCUACCACGCAAGUGGAUGCCAAUCCCAAAAACCUCUCUCAGUUCGGAUUGAAGUCUGCAACCCGACUUCAUGAAGCUGGAUUCGCUAGUAAUCGAGCAUCAGCCACGGCGCGGUGAAUACGUUCCCGGGCCUUGUACACACCGCCCGUCAAGCCAUGGGAGCCGGGGGUACAAGGAGUGCG